GGUCGGCAUAUGCGGCCCUCUGUUCUGCUCAGAAGGGAGUCACUUAUGACAGUAACCCUUCUCUUCUUCUUGAUGGAGGUGGUCGUGAUACUGGGGAAGGCUGACUUGCCCUAGAAAACCCCUCCAACCUGAAUGGACCUUCAUGCACAUCAUCGUUUGUGUGUCCAUUACUUCCAGAGUCUGUUGUUUCAGGGCACCUGAAAGGAAGGUGAGGUAGGCAAGGAGGGGUUCGCCUGCUGCCCCGAGCAGAUCUAAACUUCCAUCCCUUCGUCACUGAGAUGCACUCCUUCUGCCUGAUGGCCAGAGGCCUGCCCACCUCCUCCCGAAGCUCUGCCAGGAGGCUGAGCAGUUCUUCUACCUGGGCGCACCUACCACAGGUGGACUCACAGGAUGGGAUGUCAGGAAGAAUUUCUUCAUGCAAAGGGUGGAACCGGCUGCCCAGGGCACUGCUGGAGUCCCAGGCCUGGAGCUAUUAAAGAAAUGCGUGGACUUGGCGCUAAGGGCCGUGGUUUUGUGGUGGGCCUGGUGGUGUUAGCUGACGCUUGGACUUGAGCUGAAGGCCCUUUUCCAAGCGCAAGGGUUCUGUGACUCUUUCACUGGUUGAGUAGGCGCCAUGCAGUCACCGGGCCCAGGGAAAAGACGUCCUUGGUGGCCUCCAAGUUAGCUCAGCGUCAUGGCACCGAGUCACUGUGAAGGAGCUGCUGGAAUAACGAGACAACAACCUAGUUCUAUUAAAAUAUAUAUUGCUCUUUUGAGGACUGCUGCGGGGCUAGCAGCAACACAGCAGUGGAAAUCUCCGUCCUGACAUUGCCUUAUGCCUUGACGUCAGGAUCAGGGUGGUUUGAACUGCCAGGGAACGGACCAUGGGUUCCGGGUCUUUCUCUGAAGACUGGAGGACUGCAAAAGAAAGAAGAGCAGAGAUGAAAACCCACUCGUUGCAGAGAUCCCCAGGCAUCCCCUGCAGACCAUGCCAGCCCCACUCGACUCUUCCCCAGGCCAGGAGGAGCAGGAGGGACAAAGGAAUCCGUUGAAAGCUGCUGCUCAGCAAUGUCCCAAAUGCAGCCACCAGUCCUUCCCCACCUGCGCACCACAGGUCAAGUGGGGCACCUUCACAAGCUGGUUCCCUCACCACCUGCCUCCAUCCCUUGGGAGGAUUCACACACUCCAGGAAUCUCCUGGACUCUUUCCUCUCGCUAUUGUGCUUCCCCAUGAGAGCAAGGGCUAGCAAUCGUGACCCUGCUCCUAGCUGCUUGUAGGCUGUCUCAUCUCCCUCUUCGUCCUGGUUGCGUGCUCUACAACAGGCUCCCACCUUCUGUCAGCCUUACUGCCCUUUCCCCUGACUCUUCCUCAGG